rnacentral:tRNA from 1 species
GGAAGCGUGGCCGAGUGGUUUAAGGCAGCGGUCUUGAAAACCGUCGUAGGUGAGAGCCUACCGUGAGUUCGAAUCUCACCGCUUCCG